CGGGGUGUAGCGCAGCCCGGUAGCGCAUCUGGUUUGGGACCAGAGGGUCGUAGGUUCGAAUCCUGCCACCCCGA
rnacentral:tRNA from 1 species